ACUACUAUUUUAUGCAUGCAAUGCAUGGAUUAUGUUUUUAAUGUUUUUGUUUUUCAAGUUAUAUAUUAAGCCUUAAAAGCAAAUUAAAUGUUGCUUUUUAAUUAUGUAUGUUACGUUA